AUACUUACCUGGCACAGAUAUAACCUGAUCCACGAAGGCGGUUUUCCCAGGCGAGGGCUCACCAUUGCACUCCGGUGGGCCGACCCCUGCGAUUUAACCCAAAUGUGGUUAAACUGAGUGCAAUUUUUGGUAGCGGGGACUGCGUUUCGCGCUAUCCCCC